GACGAACGCUGGCGGCGUGCUUAACACAUGCAAGUCGAACGGAAAGGCCCUGCUUUUGCGGCUUUCUCGAGUGGCGAACGGGGGUGUAACACGUGAGUAACCUGCCCUUGACUUUGGGGUAACUUCAGGAAACUGGGGCUAAUACCGCAUAGGAGCUCCUGCUGCACGUUGUGGGUUGGAAAGUUUCGGCGGUUGGGGAUAGACUCGCGGCUUAUCAGCUUGUUGGUGGAGUAGUGGCUUACGAAGGCUUAGACGGGUAGCCGGCCUGAGAGGGUGACCGGCCACAUUGGGACUGAGAUACGGCCCAGAGUCAUAUCGGAGGCAGCAGUGGAGAAUAUUGCACAACGACCGCAAGCGUGAUACAGAAGAGCCGCGUGCGGGAUGACCGCCUUCGGGUUGAAAACCACUUUCGACUGAAACGAGGCGUGAGUGACGGUACUGGGUCAAGAAGCAACGGCUAACUACGUG
rnacentral:rRNA from 1 species